rnacentral:rRNA from 1 species
CCUACGGGGGGUAGCAGUGGGGAAUAUUGGACAAUGGGGGCAACCCUGAUCCAGCCAUGCCGCGUGUGUGAAGAAGGCCCUCGGGUUGUAAAGCACUUUCAGUGAGGAAGAACGCCUGGUGGUUAAUACCCAUCAGGAAAGACAUCACUCACAGAAGAAGCACCGGCUAACUCCGUGCCAGCAGCCGCGGUAAUACGGAGGGUGCGAGCGUUAAUCGGAAUUACUGGGCGUAAAGCGCGCGUAGGUGGCUUGAUAAGCCGGUUGUGAAAGCCCCGGGCUCAACCUGGGAACGGCAUCCGGAACUGUCAAGCUAGAGUGCAGGAGAGGAAGGUAGAAUUCCCGGUGUAGCGGUGAAAUGCGUAGAGAUCGGGAGGAAUACCAGUGGCGAAGGCGGCCUUCUGGACUGACACUGACACUGAGGUGCGAAAGCGUGGGUAGCAAACAGGAUUAGAUACCCUUGUAGUC